UAAAUGGCAAACGGCCUAAGCAUGUGAAAUGGCCUUGGUUUGUCAGACUGAAACAUGGCAGUGCCGGCUGUGGGGGCUCUCUUGUGAGCGAUCGUCAAGUGCUAACAGCAGCCCAUUGCUUUGACAAUAUAGACCAUAAGGAUUACUGGCAGGUGUAUGUUGGCAUGGUCAGACGGAAUGAACUGGCCAAGCCAUACAAAAUAAAAGAGAUCAUCUUACACAAGGAUUAUAAUGAGGACAGUGUCAGAAACGACAUUGCCUUGUUGACACUCAGCCAGCCCGUCCAGUUCUCUGACAAAAUCCACUCUGUGUGUCUGCCGUCUCCUGGCCAUAUUUUUCCACAUGGAACAAAAUGCUGGGUAGCAGGAUUUGGGAAAACCAGUAAGUCUCUCUCUUUCUUCCCUCUACUCUUAUCUCUGUGUAUGUGUGUGCUACAGUACACUGUAAUCUAUUUAUCUGUUUACUCCAUGUGGCCCAUUUAACCUCCUUUUGUUUAACACUUAUUGUUUAAUAACCACUACAAAUUAUUCAGUAACUACACUCUUAAAAAUAAAGGUUUCAAAACUGUUCUUUAGAGUUUUGUCAUAGAAGAACCACCUAAAGCAGUGGGUGUGAAAACGGUCUUCAGGGACCC